GGCAUCCAUCUUCUUCAUGCCCAUAAGGGCUUUGGGUGUUCACCUCUUGUACUAGUUUUUAGUCUCUGAUAGCAGUAUAAUUAAGGGAAGAAAUAUAAGAGAAGAAGAGAAGAAGAAGAUCAAGGAUAGGAUCAAAGAAUUGAUCAUGAUCCAGACUUCGUUCAUGUUCGCAGGCUGAUUUUUCUUGGAGCAAAAAAAUCA
rnacentral:lncRNA from 1 species